UUACGGCCACAUCACGUUGAAACACCGGUUCGCGUAGUUCACUGAAGUUAAGCAAUGUCGAGCCUGGUCAGUACCUAGAUGGGUGAUCGCUUUGGAAUACCAGGUGCGGUAA